rnacentral:tRNA from 1 species
GCUUGACUGGUUCAGUUUGUAGAAUAUGUGACUCUUGAUCUUGGGGUCAUGAGUUUGAGCCUCAUGUUGGGCA